AUUGAACGCUGGCGGCAGGCUUAACACAUGCAAGUCGAGCGGGGGAGGUUGCUUCGGUAACUGACCUAGCGGCGGACGGGUGAGUAAUGCUUAGGAAUCUGCCUAUUAGUGGGGGACAACAUUCCGAAAGGGAUGCUAAUACCGCAUACGCCCUACGGGGGAAAGCAGGGGAUCUUCGGACCUUGCGCUAAUAGAUGAGCCUAAGUCGGAUUAGCUAGUUGGUGGGGUAAAGGCCUACCAAGGCGACGAUCUGUAGCGGGUCUGAGAGGAUGAUCCGCCACACGGGGACUGAGACACGGCCCAGAAUCCUACGGGAGGCAGCAGUGGGGAAUAUUGGACAAUGGGCGGAAGCCUGAUCCAGCCAUGCCGCGUGUGUGAAGAAGGCCUUUUGGUUGUAAAGCACUUUAAGCGAGGAGGAGGCUCUUAGGGUUAAUACCCUUGAUGAGUGGACGUUACUCGCAGAAUAAGCACCGGCUAACUCUGUGCCAGCAGCCGCCGUAACAC
rnacentral:rRNA from 1 species